rnacentral:rRNA from 1 species
UUUUAUUUGAGAGUUUGAUCCUGGCUCAGGAUGAACGAUGGCGGCGUGCCUAACACAUGCAAGUUGAGCGAUUUACUUCGGUAAAGAGCGGCGGACGGGUGAGUAACGCGUGGGUAACCUACCCUGUACACACGGAUAACAUACCGAAAGGUAUGCUAAUACGGGAUAAUAUAUUUGAGAGGCAUCUCUUGAAUAUCAAAGGUGAGCCAGUACAGGAUGGACCCGCGUCUGAUUAGCUAGUUGGUAAGGUAACGGCUUACCAAGGCGACGAUCAGUAGCCGACCUGAGAGGGUGAUCGGCCACAUUGGAACUGA